rnacentral:tRNA from 1 species
GUUUUUAUAGUUGAAUAACAACGGUGGUUUUUCGGAUCGCGGGUUUUGGUUUGAAUCCAAAUAAAAAUA